GCUAACUAGGCAGAAUUAUUGUAUCAAAUUUAGAAUUUGAAUAUGACUUAAUAGUCAGUUAGCA
rnacentral:tRNA from 1 species